GCUUAGCCCUAAAUACUGAUGCUUAACUUACAGUUAACUCCGCCCGGGUACUACGAACAUAAGUUUGAAACCCAAAGGACUUGGCGGUGCUUAACACCCCCCUAGAGGAGCCUGUUCUAGAACCGAUAAUCCCCGUUAAACCUCACCCUCCCUUGUUAAUCCCGCCUAUAUACCACCGUCGUCAGCUUACCCUUUGAAGGAUAUAUAGUAAGCAAAAAUGGCACAGCCCAAUACGUCAGGUCGAGGUGUAGUGUAUGGGAGGGGAAGAGAUGGGCUACAUUCACUAACUGUAGUGAAUCACGGAUGUUCGUAUUGAAACAUACAACUGAAGGAGGAUUUAGUAGUAAGCAGGAAGUAGAGUGUCCUGCUGAAACCGGCUCUUGAGCGCGC
rnacentral:rRNA from 1 species